UGGGGAAUAUUGCGCAAUGGGCGAAAGCCUGACGCAGCAACGCCGUGUGAGGGAUGAAGGCUUUCGGGUCGUAAACCUCUGUCGGAAGGGAAGAACGGGCAUUGGUCUAAUAGGCCUUUGUUUUGACGGUACCUUUAGAGGAAGCACCGGCUAACUCCGUGCCAGCAGCCGCGGUAAUACGGAGGGUGCAAGCGUUAUUCGGAAUUACUGGGCGUAAAGCGCACGUAGGCCGUUUUGUAAGUCAGGGGUGAAAUCCCACGGCUCAACCGUGGAACUGCCUUUGAAACUGCAGAACUUGAAUCCUGGAGAGGGUGGCGGAAUUCCUGGUGUAGGAGUGAAAUCCGUAGAUAUCAGGAGGAACACCGGUGGCGAAGGCGGCCACCUGGACAGGCAUUGACGCUGAGGUGCGAAAGUGUGGGGAGCAAACA
rnacentral:rRNA from 1 species